CAAAUUUUAGUUUAAAAAAAAAAUUAUUCAUUUACAUUGAAUAGAUAUAAUUAAUUAUAGAUUUGA
rnacentral:tRNA from 1 species